rnacentral:rRNA from 1 species
AUGCACGCUGGCGGCGUGCCUAAUACAUGCAAGUCGAGCGAACAGAUGAGGAGCUUGCUCCUCUGACGUUAGCGGCGGACGGGUGAGUAACACGUGGAUAACCUACCUAUAAGACUGGGAUAACUUCGGGAAACCGGAGCUAAUACCGGAUAAUAUAUUGAACCGCAUGGUUCAAUAGUGAAAGACGGUUUUGCUGUCACUUAUAGAUGGAUCCGCGCCGCAUUAGCUAGUUGGUAAGGUAACGGCUUACCAAGGCAACGAUGCGUAGCCGACCUGAGAGGGUGAUCGGCCACACUGGAACUGAGACACGGUCCAGACUCCUACGGGAGGCAGCAGUAGGGAAUCUUCCGCAAUGGGCGAAAGCCUGACGGAGCAACGCCGCGUGAGUGAUGAAGGUCUUCGGAUCGUAAAACUCUGUUAUUAGGGAAGAACAAAUGUGUAAGUAACUAUGCACGUCUUGACGGUACCUAAUCAGAAAGCCACGGCUAGCUACGUG